rnacentral:lncRNA from 1 species
AUGACUUAUCACAGGUUUUCCGAAUUAUUACAUUUUUCCAGAAGGUCUAGAGACAAAGAAAUCUUGAAUUUUUCAAACCGGGACACAGCAGGAAGGAGCCCAGUGAGAAAGCUGAGGUUUGAGGACCAAAGGAACACCUCCCCUAGGCCGCAAGGGUCCUCUCACGCCAGCGGCACCCGGAGGUUCCGCCCCCUCCCCAUUCCUCUCUUCAGCCCCCUCCCCCAGCUGCAUCCCCGGCCCGCCUCAGGCCCUCCCCCCUUCCGUUUCAGGAGCCAGCCUUCUCCUGCUGCUCUUACCCGUCGGAACUUGAAGGUCUCGGCCGGUCUGAUCACCUACUUCGUCCUCCUCACUCGCGCCGAGGAUCCGACACUGACCUGUGACCCCUCCCGCAGCCGGGAAAGAUGGCGCCAGCAGCGCCCGCCUCCCGAGGUGGAGGGGCGGGGCGGGGGUGGGGAGCUCUCAAUUAGAGCUGAUUUCAAAUUCAGCUUUGCAGGCAAAAAUUAUUUAAAUUAUGGAAUGUGGUCAUUUUAUAUGGUCGGGGGUAGGGGUAACGAUGGCAAUAAAGGCUGGCUGGGGAGAGUUAGGCUCCCCAAACCUAUUACACACACCGUCCCCGCCCCCCAUCAACCCAAGCAAAUCAAACACACACUCUUAAGUAGAGGGUGCACUUGUUUAGCAAAGGCAGCUUCCAGACCCCUCCCUUCCAAUCAGACGCCUAUCUUAAACCCCGCCUCUGUGAAAUUCUGGAGCAGCCACAGGGAGGUGGCGAACGCAGGCAAUAUUCCCUCAUUCACUCAUUCAACACAUUUUACUAAGCACCUACUGCACACUGUGUAAAUCCCAGAGGGGCUGAGAAUCAAAUGCAUCCACUUUAAUUUGAAAGAGUAGGAAAGAUCCAGGCAGAGGGAAAUCCUCCCCGCACCGACCAGGCGUCAGAAUUCUGGGCGUUCUCUGAGUCGCACAGUAGGCGCCCAGAGUUCCCCCCAACCUGCGCCCCGCCGCCCACUCUCCGGUCUCAGCACCUGGCCCGGCUCCCACUCUGCCUCUGCGCCUCGAAUCCCGACCAGUGACCGGGGCGAACACUCCUCUCAAACCUAGGGUCCUCCCGCCUUCCCAGUGCAAGGUGUCCUCUUCCCACUCUCCACCACGCCCCCAGCUCAGGCCACAAGGCAAACGCCGGCCUCCCUUCCCCAACACGCGCCACGCUCCCCCAGAUCGCCCUCGCAGGAUGCCCCCUACCCGCCAGCCCUUCCCUCCUGCUCCUCCCAGUGCCUGCUGGGCCCCCGCCC